GAUGAAGAACGUAGCAAAAUGCGAUAAGUAAUGUGAAUUGCAGAAUUCAGUGAAUCAUCGAAUCUUUGAACGCACAUUGCGCCCGCUGGUAUUCCGGCGGGCAUGCCUGUUCGAGCGUCAUUUCAACCCUCAAGCCCCCGGGUUUGGUGUUGGGGAUCGGCUCUGCCCUUCUGGGCGGUGCCGCCCCCGAAAUACAUUGGCGGUCUCGCUGCAGCCUCCAUUGCGUAGUAGCUAACACCUCGCAACUGGAACGCGGCGCGGCCAUGCCGUAGAACCCCAACUUCUGAAUGUUGACCUCGGAUCAGGUAGGAAUACCCGCUGAACUUAAGCAUAUCAAUAAGCGGAGGA
rnacentral:misc_RNA from 1 species